AUGCCGCUUGUCGGGCUUAUCAUCUUCUUGCCAUCGUGCGCAAGCUCACUCCUGUCCAUCGCCUUCACCUGCCGGCUCCUCUACAUCGUCAUCUACAGGUACAAAAACAACAGCUCGGACUCCUCCCCCUCCAACGACGGCGAAGGCUCUGGCUGUUACGACGAGGAGCAGGGCGCCAUCAUCGAGGGAGAAGGCGACGACGGCACGGGCACCGGAGGCGACAGAUGCUGCAUAUGCCUGGAGCACAUGCCGGACGCCGACGGCGGCAUGUGGCGGUCGCUUCGAGUGGCCGUGUGCAUGGAGCAGACGAUGCUGGAGGCGGAGAUGUGCCGUCCGCUGCGCUGCGGCCACGUCUUCCACGCCGGCUGCAUCGGCCAGUGGUUGAAGAGGAGCGGCACCUGCCCGUCGUGCCGAAGCCCGUCGGCAUGGUUUUCAGCACCACCACGAAGACUCGACAACGAAGAUGUUUUAGUCCGCCUUAUGUUAUUUUGUAGCUUUGUGGGGUGUUCCUUGGGUUAUCUUGGUCAAUACAUAGAUAACCUUUCUUGA
rnacentral:rRNA from 1 species